UAACACAUGCAAGUCGAGCGAACCCUUCGGGGUGAGCGGCGGACGGGUGAGUAACGCGUGGGUAACCUGCCCUGUACACACGGAUAACAUACCGAAAGGUAUGCUAAUACGGGAUAACAUAAUAAAAUCGCGUGGUUUUGUUAUCAAAGCUGAGGCGGUACAGGAUGGACCCGCGUCUGAUUAGCUAGUUGGUAGGGUAAAGGCCUACCAAGGCGACGAUGCGUAGCCGACCUGAGAGGGUGAACGGCCACACUGGGACUGAGACACGGCCCAGACUCCUACGGGAGGCAGCAGUAGGGAAUCGUCGGCAAUGGGCGAAAGCCUGACCGAGCAACGCCGCGUGAAUGAUGAAGGCCUUCGGGUUGUAAAAUUCUGUUAUAAGGGAAGAACGACUUUAGUAGGAAAUGGCUAGAGUGUGACGGUACCUUAUGAGAAAGCCACGGCUAACUACGUGCCAGCAGCCGCGGUAAUACGUAGGUGGCGAGCGUUAUCCGGAAUUAUUGGGCGUAAAGAGCGCGCAGGUGGUUGAUUAAGUCUGAUGUGAAAGCCCACGGCUUAACCGUGGAGGGUCAUUGGAAACUGGUCAACUUGAGUGCAGAAGAGGGAAGUGGAAUUCCAUGUGUAGCGGUGAAAUGCGUAGAGAUAUGGAGGAACACCAGUGGCGAAGGCGGCUUCCUGGUCUGUAACUGACACUGAGGCGCGAAAGCGUGGGGAGCAAACAGGAUUAGAUACCCUGGUAGUCCACGCCGUAAACGAUGAGUGCUAAGUGUUGGGGGUCGAACCUCAGUGCUGAAGUUAACGCAUUAAGCACUCCGCCUGGGGAGUACGGUCGCAAGACUGAAACUCAAAGGAAUU
rnacentral:rRNA from 1 species